AUGGUUUAAUGAUGAGUUUUUACCCCUUACCUACAUUGUUUGAUGCUCAUGAAAAGCAACAUAUCUGAUAUCAAG